rnacentral:rRNA from 1 species
CCUACGGGAGGCAGCAGUGGGGAAUAUUGCACAAUGGGGGAAACCCUGAUGCAGCGACGCCGCGUGAGUGAAGAAGUACUUCGUUAUUUUAAGCUCUAUCAGCAUGGAAGAAAAUUACGGUACCUGAGUAAUAAUCCCCGUCUAACUACGUGCCAGCAGCCGCGGUAAUACGUAGGGGGCAAGCGUUAUCCGGAUUUACUGGGUGUAAAGGGAGCGUAGACGGAAGUGGAAGUCAGGAGUGAAAGGCGGGGGCUCAACCCGCAGACUGCUGUGGAAACUGUACGGCUGGAGUGCAGGAGAGGUAAGUGGAAUUCGUGGUGUAGCGGUGAAAUGCGUAGAUAUUAGGAGGAACACCGGUGGCGAAGGCGGCUUACUGGACUGUAACUGACGUUGAGGCUCGAAAGCGUGGGGAGCAAACAGGAUUAGAUACCCCAGUAGUC